CUGGGCAGUGCCUCCUGGUUGGACUGUGGGGGACGCUGUAAAUCAGUGGCUCCCGUGGCCUCUGUCCUGAAAGGCCACACUGUGGAUGGUCUCGCAAGCCAAUGUGAAAGAUCUCCAGCUCUGAGAUAGGGCUCUUCUGGAGUAGGGGCUGAGGGAGGAGAGCAAGGGCCAGUGAAGGGAGUGAGGUGGAGAGAGGGAGAGAAGAGAAAGCAAAAGGAAUCAGCCAAAGAAUGUGGGAGCUCAAAGACUGGCAACCUAGCCGGGUGAAGAUCAGAGCCAAGGCUGGAGUAACAACCUGUGACACACUCGACUGUUACCUGAAGCACAGCGAGAGAGAUCUAAAUUAAACGUCAGCUCCUGGCUGAGCCUCUGACAUGCUGUGGCAGGACAGAAGUGGCUUUGCGGUCUGAGCUUGCCUAAGAAACACCUUCCGGAGUAACUGAGCCGGGGUUGGGGGGAGGGCAGCUCUGAAGCUCUGUGAGAAGCAAUUCCAGCCUCAGAACAGGGGUGGCAAGGGCCAUAAAAUCCUUAAACAUAAUAGCUCUGAGAGGGGGUUAGAGAACUAGGGCCUAUUCCCAAACCCUGAUCAAGGAUUCAGUUCCAGGAAGCUGGGUGAAAGACCGCAGCUUCUGAACGGGCCCACAGUGAUGCCUAGGAUCAGCAGGCUCUCUAAAGUACAAGUUGCUAGGAAACCCGUCUUCCAUCAUGUUUUUGUCCCAUGAACUGGAACCAGAGGAAAUGGCCUCCACACUUUGGGCCCAGAGAGCCUCCAGUCAGAGGUCACACCUGAAGACCAACAUCUCGCUUGGAAGAGCACAUGCAGGAGCCGGUGAAUGAGGGAAACAAAAUAAAAGCUCUUCCCCACCCACUUAGAAAGCAGCGGCUUUUACAGUUUAUUCUCGCAAUAAAACGGAGCAGUGGCUUCUUCCUCCCAAGGCAUUCUUCCCCAGAAUCCCAAGGAACAGACCGACAAUACGCUGCCUACACCAACAGUGCAGAACUCAGGCCUCUGUUCCCUCAGCCUCAUGCCAGGCCACCAGCCUCCAUCUCUCUGCAUCACAGAGAGGCCACCGCAGGCACUGCCCUGUCCUGGGCCCUAAGACACUGAGCUUACUUAGCUUGGAAAUCCUGUGGUCAAACGUCUCCCCAUCUUCUCAUCACUUGGGAAAAGGACAUGUUCCCCACCCCCACCCCCAGGAGCCAUUCUACCUCACAUUUGCAUUGAUGAUGUCAUUAACAGCUUGGCCUCCUUGACUCUUCCUGCAUUCAAGGAUCCAGUCUACAGAAGACUUCUCUAAGAUGGGACUCCCAUCCUGCCAUGAUCUAGACUCUUCUGCUCAGGAAACUCAUAUUGAUCCUCCAGCAGCCAGCCCAGCUCCUGCCCCAAGGUAAGAAAGCAUCUCUGUGUCCUGCAUCUGACCCAGCUACCUAUACAAACAGGUCAGCUCCCUUCGUCUCUACGUGCCUAGCCAGCUUCUGCCCCAAGCAUGCCUGUGAUGGCUCUCAGCACAGGGAUUUUUCUCAAAAGAUAAAUUCUUACAGAAGGUCAUAAUCCCAAAUUUGGAUGUGUUACCUCAAAAUAGGUGGUGAAAUCUCAUCUAAGUAGACAGGUGUGUAGCUAUUUACCAGCUAAGCGGCCCUAAUCCAAAAAUCCAAAAUCCUAUCAGAAACCUUUUGAGCACUGGCAUGAUGCUCAAAACACUUGAGACCUGGGAUUUAAGAUAUAGUGAUUAUUAGGAAUUUUCAGCUACCAAUGUCCAUGAAAACAGUUCAAAUCCUCACCUCCACCCCCACCAGGAAACACUUCCUGUCCCAAGCAUUUCAUUCAAGGGAUAUUCAACCUGUAGAGUGUGUGACUAUUAAAUAUAUUUGCUUGCACAUGGAGAUAUUCUUCAGUGUCUGGCAUAUGCACCAUGUGCACUUUCUAUAGUCUCAAAAGUUCUGAGUUCUAAACAUAUCAGACCUCAGGAGCUUGGGGUCCUGAGCCUGCCAUUCUGAGUUCUUCAGACCCACAUCCAUUUAUCCAUUGACUUCACUGCGUUCUAAACCCUUGAGGGCACGGGGACAUUUGUUCAGACCUGGCAGAAAGCAGGUGCUUACCAGAUGCUUGUUCUAUUGAACCAAGGUGGUCCAAGAUGAGUCCAGAGAAAUAGGAUGGUCCUCCUAUCAUAGGACAGCAUAGCUUGGGAAUCCCUGAGACGGAUGGGAAACAGCCAUAAAAAACCUUAUCUCUAGAACUCAUCUCUGGGCCUGGAUCCCACGGGCCAAAGCCACCAGAGUGAGACCACUGAGAAGUGGCUGGGAGGGGCAGCAAGGAAGUGAACGAGAUGCGCCUAACUCUGUUUCUAGGGGAACAGGGGAGUGAGGAUACAGAAAGAUGUACAUGUCAUGGUCAGGACAACUGUUUUCCUGGCAGCAGAGGAACCAGAAAGCAAUUGUUAGACCAUGCCGUAGAGGAGCAUCUACGACAUCCAUCUGGGGAGCUGGGCCCAGGCACAUAGGAGCAGUGUAGGAUGGAGAGGGCUCAUAGUCACAAACCACUGCAGAAGAAACACCACCAUUCCCUGGGGCUUCCCACAUGCCAGGCAUCAAGCUUGCAGGCACACCGCCACUGAGAGGGAGGCAGGAGUCUAAGCUUCGCAAAAAUAGGUAAAAGUUGCUGAGAGCUCACACCAGGUCGUGCGCUACUCCGAGUGUGUUAAAUACUCCCACCCCAUCCCCACUGACCUCAGGAAGGGACAGUGCUAGGCAUGCCCACCUGUUUCCAGAGAAUUCUGAUUCUUCUCCCAUAAGGACUUAGAGAAAUAAGGCCUGAGCUGAAGAUGUGGUAGAACCAAGGUUAGAAUUCUGGAGCAUACAGGUGACCCCAGCCCUGAAUGGGAGUGUUGGUCUCUACUGACCUUCAUAUCUGACCAUCAACUGUGCCCUCUGUAGACUCUGUAAAACACACGUGUUCAUCAGCCAUUUUGCUCCACUGUAUCCCCUGUCCAGGCUCAAGUCUUUGCUCCGUAUACUGGGGUGCUCUCUGACAACACCUCUAGAAGUCACCUAAGAAUUAUGUCACUUUGAAAAAUGUGUAGUCCUCGAAAACACCAGGAGCCUCAGUUACUUAAGAGGACAGGAGCAGACUGCUCCUGAGCUCUGCCAUUCUGUGUGAUUCUGACUCCACGCUGUGCACCCGACAAGUAAGGGGUGACCUUUGAGAGCAGAGCAAAGGAUGCUUGCUGAAUGACUCCUCACAAUCUGCAUGCCUUUCUAGCUUCUCUUUACCCUGGCAGAGUGUGUGUGUGUGUGUGUGUGUGUGUGUGUGUGUUACCCACGCAUGCUCAUGGAGGCCUGAAGCCAACCUUAGGUCUUGUUUCUCAGACUCAGUCCAUCUCGGUCUGUUUUGAGACAAUGUCUCUUGCUGGGCUAGAACUCCUAAGUAGUAGUCCAGGCUGACUGGCCACUGAGCUUAGGGAUCUAUUCACCUCCACCUCCCAAGCACUGGGAUUUACAGAGAUAGCCUGCAUUCUACCACUGAGCUGUCAUUCCAGAGGCUUUGGACUGAUCUUAAGGGAACCUUAAAUCCCUGGAGGUCAUGACCCCAAGCCUUCAAGAAUCCUGGAAUCCCAGGAAGAGUGGACUUGCAGAUGGAGUCAGAACAUAUCAGACACACGUCCUGUGCCAGGAACGCUGGAGCCUGCCUCGGUCUUGGUUCCCUAAUGUGCCUUCUGGAUAUCAAAGGGAGACAGUGUGGUCAGUGGACGGUAUGCUUGCCUCGCAGAAACAAGCAGAGGUGAGGGGUUGACAGGAAGGUCCCUGCUUCUAGCUCUACAGUAAAUUAAGCUUCAAAUUGGCUCUGGCUACAUCGUGCCAGCGCCUGUGGAUAUUUGAGUGGCAAGGGGGAGGUGCUCAGUUAAACCUGAUACAUUCGCCGCAGGAGACAGAGCGAUCUAUGGAGCAGAGGGCAUCAAAAUUGGAUCCUUUUAGGGGCUCCUUGCAAACGGAAGCCUGUGAUGGAGAGAUGGCGAUAAGAUGCCGAGGGAAGCCGGAAGGGCUGAGAGGGCUCAGGGGCAGGGAGGAGGUAGCCUAAUGGGUCUUGUCUAUUCCUUUCACUUCAGAUCUGUGAGCUGUGCAGGGGGAGUUAGCAAAUCAAAUAUCUGGAAGCCUGAGGCAACAGUGGUAAAGGGCAGAGGUGGGGGGAGUCCCAUGAGUGUUGGGGGAAGCUUUGUAAGUGACCCCCACUUUAAAACUGCUGUAUGAAAACCUGCCUAUGUGAACCAGGCAGAAUGGGGGUUGAUUUUUUUUUCUCCUCGUAUCUUCCCAGCUUCCAGGUUGGCUGUUAAUUAAUGCCCUGUGUGAUACUUUGCAUCUCUAAGACUUGUGCUAGGCGAACAGGUGAUGCUAGCAUCUUCAUCUUCCUUACACUCCCUCAUCUUUGAUUCUUAAAAUAACCUCCACUUCCCUGGACUGGCUGGCCCACCCUGAGUGUGAUUCAUUAAGUGUGCAAUGUACAGAGCUUUUUGAAAAGCACCCAUUACUUCAGUAAGACCAAAUAGCCCUGUUGAAUUGCUAAAGUCCCAACUUCAAUCACAGCCUUGACUUUGCCCAACCAAAUACAUCACUUGCAGUCUCUUUCAUCUCCUUGAAGCACGGUCCCCGGCCGCAGGGUGAUAGGUGAGGGGUCGGGGGGAGUCAUCCAAGGCCCUGGAUCCAUGCAAAUGUCUUCAAUUAGCAAUGAAAAUCAAACCUGGACCACUAGCCCGGGGAAAUCUCAGACUGUGGUACGGACCAGCUUCUGGCACGGGAUGACCCACUACAACUUUCAAAGGCUCAAAGCUGUCAGGCGCAUCAAAUGCAGGAAACUGGAGAGAGAAUGUGAAUGUCCAAUUAUGAAGGAUGUUGACAUUAAGCAAGUCACCGGAGAAGAGCCUGGGAGAGAGUGGAGCCAGCCCUCGGGGAGGGCUGAGCUUUGAAACUGGAUAGAAGAGGUGAUGGGGAGGCUGGGGGCGGAAGAAGCAUGCACAGCUGAGACAGGAGCAAAGAUAAUCAAACAACCAAAACUAUAGUUUGCCGAACACCCAUGUCACCCUACAUGUUGCAUGUGUCACUUACACUAUUGCACAGGCCACUCUGAUGAGAUAACACGACGACGGUAACUAUCACGUGACACAUCAGCAAACCCGAAGCAUAAAAAUGGCUAAACAGCCUUUCCAUGCCACACAGGUAGCGCUCUGCUCAAUCCAGUUCCCAAACCCACAAUCCUGCCAUACCACUUAGACCUCUUCCUAAGUAGGGAUCAGAGUGGCCUCCUCCACCCAAGGAUUCUGUUCCGGAUCUACUUAUCUUUUUCCAGUUUGCCAUGGACACUGAAGAGACUGCUCACCCUGCCUUAGCUCACUGCAUGAACACACCAUCCACCUGUUCCCUUCCCUGAACAUAGAAGAACUAGGCGUGGCCUUUCAAAGAACUAUCUAGGUGGUGUUUAAAACCUAUGGUGGCGGUACACUCUGACUCCAGAUGAAAGACACUUGGGGGUAGAAAACUCCAGAAGCCAUCUGAAGCUUGCCUCAAACACACUGAUAUAAAAGCUGAACCGAAGGCCACUUGCUAAUAAAAUACUCGGUGCCUAAAAGGACAUUAAAAAGAUGUCCAAAGCCCUGCAAAGAAGAAUAAAGAUAUCAAUUUCCUUUAGUCCCUGAUUCAUCUGGCUUCAUAUUUUAGAUGCCUUGACUUUACCAAGGCAGGCUGCAUAGGUCACCGGGAGAGGACAUUUCUUCCCGCCACUAACGCCAUCCACAAUGGGCACAUACGCAUUGAGUCCCACUGGGGAGGCUCUGAAGAACUGAAGGGAAGGAGAGGGGAGUUGGUUUUCAAAGAGCUAUGAAGAAAUCCAGACCCUUGUCUGAUACCUAGGUGAAGAAACUCCACAGACCAGACUAGGAGACUCAUGAGAAGUUACUGGUAUUCUGAUUUUAUUUGGAAGAUCUUGAACAAUCUGUCUUCCUUUGUUGUCCUAGACAUUAAUCGUGACAUCUUCCCUGACAAAUUCUUGUUGGCUAGAAUCAGGUGCAAUAGGCGCUUGCUGAAUAUUUAUUUACUAAUUGAAUGAAUAAAUGAAUGUUUUCCUACUGGUCGCACCA